CAUUCGCUACAGAUCAUUUCGACUCUCCUUGGCUACCAAACCUCAAAUCACCUCUGAUUUUCAUGCCUCCCCUUCUCCAUUUUCCUACUCUGAUAUUUCCACUGCAAGCCUUCCGAGACCUUUUUUUUCCCAGCACCUCUUUGACUCCAACAUCUGCCCUCUGCUUGGGAAAUAUUAGAUACCUUACAUUUUAGAAUGGAUUAUUCCCAUGAUAUCUGCCCCCUGUGUGUGAGUGAUGAAGGGAGAGGGCUUGAAGCAUGGCUCUGAGGUGGAAACCAAUAUUUCUCACUGUUUCAGUGUACAUGAAAGAUGAGGGGCGAAAAAAAGGCUAAGAAUGGCAAGGUUCCUCUCCAAAGCCUAAGAAAGAGUGCUAUUAACACUUUUAGAUCCGAUGCUAAAGACUUCAUAUACCACACCUGCUGCUCCAGUCUGAGGAGGAUUGUACCGAACGUUUGCAGAUGGAGGUGGGGCAUUCUGGGCGGGAUGUGUCUAUGGAGUCGCUACGGGUCCGAGACGACGCGACGGCAGAAGACAGGACACAUUCACACUAUCGUCCUGGAGCACAUUUGUCUCAAAGAUGAAAGUACUCCUGAGGUCAGGAAAAAAGGUUUUUCACUGAGAAUACAAUUUGAUUACAAAUUUGAUUAAAAUCAGCUCUCCGUCAUUAUUAUUAAUGUAUUUAUUGAGUGCUUACUAUGUGCCAAGCACUCUAAGUGCUGGGAUAGAAACACAGUUUAUCAGGUUGGACACAGUUCCUGUCCUACAAGGGCUAAUUAUUGUAUUGGUUAAGCGCUUACUAUGUGCCAGACACUUAGUAGUGCUACUCUUACUAAUACUAUUACUGAAGAGAGAAUUUUCUCAGCUACCAGAUCCUAGACUCCUCUGCAUUUGGUUGAAAGAGCAGUGGAAUCGUACUAUCAGUGAGUAGGGGCUAUGGAUCAUGAUGUCUGAGGGUCUGGGCACAGUGACUCAUCCGGGAAGGGUCCAAAUGUCCGGGAAAAAAUGCAUUAUUGGUGUAUUUGUGGGAUCCUGUUCUGGGAACACCAGUCCUGACCAACAGACAGAGGGCUGGAUGCCGCAGGAGUCUCUGAGCGAGGACAACUUUUGAGUCUGGCUUCAGGUUCCCGUUCUAAAACACUAGCACAGACCUUCCACCUCGAGGGCAGAACAAAGAUGCUUUUGUCUUUCGGUAUCCGGGACUCAUCUGGGGACCUUAUGGGGAUGUGGAAAUGGUGUCGAGGGUCUGGAAGGAGCAGUUGAAGCAAAAAUUGCGUAUUUACCCUCCGUUCAAUCUAUAUCAAAUGUUGAUUUUUUUCCAAUCUCACUUAGCCAUCGGAAAGAUCCCCUGUGAUUCAUCUCCCCGUGAAGUAAGGGGGAAUAAUAAAUCUUCAAAAGCUGCAAGGGGCGAAGCAGUCAAUUCAGGGUUGACGGGCCCGCAGUGGUUUCUCCGGGGUAUGAUGAAGAAAAAGGAAAAAGGGGGAGGGGGCUAAUCUCUAACUACCUUCCCCCAUGCUAUGGGACUCUUAUAUCAUGUCCUUCAACAAGUGAUCGGGGCCGCUGCUGCCGAUUUUGCUUUCCACUUACCCUUGUGUGUCUGAAAAGAUAAAGCUGGGCCUGUCCUAGGUUUGCAGCUGGAUAUAGCCUUUGCAAAGCUUCUGGCUGCCCAAGACAGUACCUCUUGUCAGACCAUGGACUCGAUCCAACCUGAUUAGCUUCUAUACACCCCAGUGCUUAGUUCAGUGCCUGGCACAGAGUAAGGGCUUGACACCCACCAGUAACAAAUAAACAGAUAAGCACUACUGAUAGAUACCAUUGAUUUGAAAGUCGAUUAUUGCUGAGCCUGACCGAUCCCAUAGGCCCGAGCAGUGACCGGUGAGAGUGGCAGUUUCCCAACCUUCCGAUUCCAGCAGAACUCCUUGGGAUCUCCACCUGGAAAAGACCCGACUUUCCUGGGGCUGGGCGGCAGUGAGGAAGGAAUUGCGAUGGUGGAUUUUCCCACGGAAAACAACGGAUGAGUCUCGGGCCUGGGACUUUUGGGGCGCUCGCAAUCUCUCUUCAGUCACGUUCGUGCUGGGACCUGCAGUACAAAGGGAAGGAGAAGGACAGUGGCUGAAUGGUGACUCUCCCUCCUUCCUCUUGACGAUGAUGAUGCUAAUCAAAUAAUAAUUGUGAUAUUAGUUAAAAUAAGCAAGGUACUAAACGCUAAGGUAGAUACAAGAUCAUCAGGUCCCACAUGGGGGGCUCAGUCUAAAUAGGAGGGAUGACAGGUAAUGAAUCCCCAUUUUGCAGAUGAGAGAACUAAGCACAGAGAAGAUAAGUGACUUGCCCAAGAUCAGACAAGAGAAGUGGGAGAAGUGGUAUUAGAACCCAGUUUCUUUGACUCCCAAGCCCAUUUUCUUUCCACUAGGCCACUCUGGUCUUCUGUUUCUUCCCUUUCUUCCCCUUUAUGUCUCUCUCCC
rnacentral:lncRNA from 1 species